rnacentral:misc_RNA from 1 species
GACUUCCAACAGCCUUUCGUUCACGACGCGUUUUGCCUUUGCCUCUUACCGCUUAAGCCUUUGCGACUCCCAUCAUGAAGAAAUCUGUCGGUCUUGUCCUUCUUCUCACGGCAGCUUUUGCCUACUCCGGUGUUGAAGGUACAAGUGGGUGUGAAAAUGGCCUAAACUACGUGGCGGCGACCUUAUACGAAAGACCUGUCUUCGGCGUCUGCAAGUCGGAUCCAGAGGGAAAAGCAUCCUUGGCCGCCCUCGCAGGUAAUCCUGCCUGCAAAGACUACAAGUUCAUUACCCGCCAUUGCGAGUGCGAAGUUCUCGCUGCUCCCUACAUGAAAUGUGUUGCGGGAAAACAGGGUUUCUUGAAGGCUGAUGGCUCCAUCGACAGCGAGAAGAUCAUAGGCUUGUACAAGAUGUGGACCAGCAAAGCCUGCGACGUCGCUCAGUUCGACUCCGCUGCGAAAAAAUGUGGCACUGAAAUCGAGAACUACGCGUACCUAGAGAAGGCCGCAUGCAUCGCCAGGAAGUCGAAAAAUUUCACUGGUUGACCUGCACAAUUUUGUCCUCAUGCCUUCAUCUGACUGCCGGCUUUGAAGUGUUCACAACAGGUUGAAAACGUUGCUGAACACUUCAACAAUGGAACUUUUUAUUAUUUCACCCAAGCUGUGCGAAAUAAUUUACAAUACAUUA